rnacentral:misc_RNA from 1 species
GAAAUGCGAAAACUAAUGUGAAUUGCAUUAUCUCGUGAAUCAUCGAGUCUUUGAACGCAUCUUGCACUUUUUAGGUCUCCUAAAAAGUAUACUUGUUUGAGUAUCAUAAACACACUCUGCUCUAGUUGCUUCUGCUUCUAGCAAUUGAGACGUCAAGUUAGCCUGCUAACAUGUGUCUUUUAAUGCAUAUGCCAGUGUUUUGCGUGUCUUGUGCAAGCAAAAGCCACACACAAUCAAAUGUGAGAUAAAUAUCGCACAAAGUAGUUGCUAGUGGUUCAGCUUGGCUACGCCCAGCAGCUUGCGCGCAAGCGCUAGCUUCACCUUUGACUCUGUGAUCUCAAAUCAAGUAAGACUACCCGCUGAACUUAA